GUGCAGAUGAUGUAAACACAUUAAUGUCUGAAUAGUGAUGCGUUCAAAGGAACCACUGAUGCUG
ensembl:snoRNA SNORD42 Small nucleolar RNA SNORD42